UCAUUUAAUAUUAUUUAUUUUUAAUUUAUCGUGUGUACUAUCGCAUUAAUAAAUAAACUAAUUAUUUUUCUCUUACGUAAUAAAUUGGUCAAAAAUGCAUAUACAAAUUACCGAUAAGUCGAACAUAAAUGUAAAUAUUCUUAUUUUAUCAUCUUUCGAGAAAAAAAAUCGAUGAUCCUUUAAAACACGUGGGAAUCAGCAGAUGUAUGAUGUAUUUAUGUAUAUUAGUAUAUGAUAAAAGUGUGAUCGCGCUUUUAUCUAUCCGCUUAAACUUUAGCCUAUUAUUUGUACAUACAGUACCGAACAAAAAUAUUGGAAGAAACUAACAUUUUUUUGUAGCAAUUUAUAAAAAAAUAAAAUCAUAAUUUAAACCGUGGACAAAUUAUAAGUGUAUGAUAAAAAAUAUAUCUUUUUUUACGAUUAAAAAUAUUUUUCUAGUAAAAACGGUCUCCCUUGUGCAUUUCUUAUUACAUUUUUUUUUUAUUACAUACAUUGAAUUUCUAUGGCUUACAAUAUGGUUGAAUUAUUAAACUCGGUAGAUAUAUUUAAGAAGAAAAAAAAAUAAAAUAAAAAAAAUAUAUACUUUUUAGAAAUUUACAGAAAAAUGUAUUCCAAUGUGCCAAUACUUUUGUUCGGCACUGUAUGCGCUAUUUCAUGCCAUUAGUAUUUAAGUACACGUAUACAUAUAUGUAUAAAUAUAUGUAAUUUAACUUUAUCAUAUCAUUUAUUUUUCAAUAUUUUCAAUAUAAGUAUUUAAUACAUAUAUUUUUUUUUACAAAAUUUAUCAUAUCUCAAAAUCCCCCCGUUGAGAGACGAUCGAUAACUAACGAAGAUCGCAUAUUGGUUGUUGAAUAGGCAACCUGGCACCAGACGGUAUUGUUAAAAUCGUAGCUGAUAGAAGCUGAUUCUUAGAAGAUCUUAGCAGCUAUUGAGAUUAUCGUCGUCUUUCAAAUUGAUCUUCGAUGGUAUUGUUUUAUCUGAAGUAUCUUCCAAGAAGGAGAUCUUUCCGCGUCUCACUCCGUUUAUCGAUUAUACACCUUUGGUACAAAGAUUGUUUUCUUCUUUGAUCGUCUCGUUCUCGAUCGGUAGAACAUUGUUAUCGUCAAACUACUAGAAAUAAUUGUUUACAAAUAAUGCCAGGAUAAUUGGUCGUACGUGUCAAACUUUAGUUGGAUCCUUAACUUCCUACAAGCCGCAUAUGUUACAUCAAAUAAAUUCAAUUUAACGAAUGACAGACAUACAAAAAUACGAGAACAAUGUUCAUCGUGCAUGCGAACAAAAUAUUAAUGUUCGAAUAUUUAAAAAGCCCGUUGCGGAACAACGAAGGUAACAUCCAAUAUUUUUUUAAACGAAAUUAAUUCCAUUUGUCACGUUAACUUCGUAUAUCAAAACGAAGUUUUAUUGAUCACGGCUUUUAACGGUGUCGCAUCAUAUUUGUAUUAUUUUAACAAAUAUUAAAAAACAUCAAAGUAACUUACUUAUUUUAAUUUGAAUGAUAACAUACAGAUACAUAUACCAAUUCGUAACUUUUUUCUUGUUCUAUUAUUUAAGACAAAUCGAUGCUCAUACGAGCAUCCUUAUAUUCAUUUUGAUCGAAUGAACUUAUUAAUGCACGGUAUCCCGCGCAAUAAUUUGAAAUAUUGAUAAACGUAUGAAGACUUAACAAUAGUACAAUAUGAUAUCGACGUGUGUCCGCCAUUUCUUAUUGGAUGAAACCUUUGCAGUCGCAGAGCAGCAUGGCAUAGUAAUAAUGAUAAUACGCGUCGUCCAAUUCGUAAUUCUUGCUUCGCAAAUUUAAUCCGCUUUUGGCAACGCUUAAGAACCGAUCCAGAGGAAUUAACGAGUGAAAUCAGAAUUGAAACGCAACCGGGAAAACGUAUAAAUGUAAACGUUGAGAAAGAAGAAGAAAAAAAAGAAGAAGAGGACAGAAGAAGGAGAUUUUAAGGAGAGCCGAUUAAAAGUGCUGCUCUCGCAUAAAAUAUUCCUUUAGCUGAUUUAACAUUCAUACGUUUGUAAGCUUGAAGGUAAAGAGAGAGUAGAGUGGUUCAUCGAACGAGGUCAAGCUAUACCUACGUCUCGUCUCUUGUUGAUAACGAAUGCAUAACUCUAAGAGGGAGAUACUUUAAAAAACGAUAUCAUUGGAGUCGACCUUUUGCCAAUGGAAAUGAUUUCCAUCUGAAAACGAGCCAAGAGAUAUAAUCGCUUUGUUCCAUCAGGAACAUUAUCGGGAUUUAAAUCUUUCUUUCUUUUGAUUCCCCUGGUAUAUAUGAGUAUAUAAAAAAAGGAAAAAUAUCAAAUACGCGGGAAGGGUAGGAUGUUAUAGGUUUACUUUGAAA
rnacentral:lncRNA from 1 species